rnacentral:rRNA from 1 species
GUAACGGGGUGUUAGGGCACGACACCGGAGAGGGAGCCUGAGAAACGGCUACCACAUCCAAGGAUGGCAGCAGGCGCGCAAAUUACCCAAUCCCGACACGGGGAGGUAGUGACAAUAAAUAACAAUACGGGGUUCUUUCGGAUCUCGUAAUUGGAAUGAGUACAAUUUAAAUCUCUUAACGAGGAACAAUUGGAGGGCAAGUCUGGUGCCAGCAGCCGCGGUAAUUCCAGCUCCAAUAGCGUAUAUUAAAGUUGUUGCAGUUAAAAAGCUCGUAGUUGAAUUUCGGGGUUAGCAGGUCGGUCGUGCCAUCGGUAUGAACUGGCCUCGCUGAUCCCUCCCUCUUGACGAACUGUGAUGCCAUUAAUUUGGUGUCGCAGGGAAUCAGGACUGUUACUUUGAAAAAAUUAGAGUGUUUAAAGCAGGCUCACGCUUGAAUACAUUAGCAUGGAAUAAUGAAAUAGGACGUUUGAUCCUAUUUUGUUGGUUUCUAGGAUUGACGUAAUGAUUAAUAGGGAUAGUUGGGGGCAUUAGUAUUCAAUUGUCAGAGGUGAAAUUCUUGGAUUUAUUGAAGACUAACUACUGCGAAAGCAUUUGCCAAGGAUGUUUUCAUUAAUCAAGAACGAAAGUUAGGGGAUCGAAGACGAUCAGAUACC